rnacentral:rRNA from 1 species
UGGGGGAUAUUGCACAAUGGGCGAAAGCCUGAUGCAGCGACGCCGCGUGGGGGAUGAAGGCCUUCGGGUUGUAAACUUCUUUUGCUCUGAACAAGGCGCACCAUGGGGUGAGUUGAGUGUAGGGGUUGAUUAGCGCCGGCUAACUACGUGCCAGCAGCCGCGGUAAUACGUAGGGCGCGAGCGUUGUCCGGAAUUAUUGGGCGUAAAGGGCUUGUUGGUGGCUGGUUGCGUCUGUCGUGAAAGCUCAUGGCUUAACUGUGGGUUUGCGGUGGGUACGGGCUGGCUUGAGUGCAGUAGGGGAGGCUGGAAUUCCUGGUGUAGCGGUGGAAUGCGCAGAUAUCAGGAGGAAUACCGGUGGCGAAGGCGGGUCUCUGGGCUGUUACUGACACUGAGGAGCGAAAGCAUGGGGAGCGAACAG